rnacentral:rRNA from 1 species
AGGCAGCAGUGGGGAAUUUUGGACAAUGGACGAAAGUCUGAUCCAGCCAUGCCGCGUGCGGGAAGAAGGCCUACGGGUUGUAAACCGCUUUUGUCAGGGAAGAAAUCCCUUGGGAUAAUACCUCGGGGGGAUGACGGUACCUGAAGAAUAAGCACCGGCUAACUACGUGCCAGCAGCCGCGGUAAUACGUAGGGUGCAAGCGUUAAUCGGAAUUACUGGGCGUAAAGCGUGCGCAGGCGGUUAUGCAAGACAGAUGUGAAAUCCCCGGGCUCAACCUGGGAACUGCAUUUGUGACUGCAUAGCUGGAGUGCGGCAGAGGGGGAUGGAAUUCCGCGUGUAGCAGUGAAAUGCGUAGAUAUGCGGAGGAACACCGAUGGCGAAGGCAAUCCCCUGGGCCUGCACUGACGCUCAUGCACGAAAGCGUGGGGAGCAAACAGGAUUAGAUACCCUGGUAG